CACAAAGUGACAAACACCCUCAGCCCCGCCCGUUGUCACUCACCGCUCCGGAUCCAGGGCAGCGUCCUCCGACUCCCGGGCACCCUGACCACAGCUGCAGCCGCACAGCUCCUGCUCCUUUCGCCUCUCCUGCCCUCACUUCUCUUGCACUAUUUUGUCUCUCGCACUUUGUGGUGGGCACACUCCGGGGCCGGCGGACUCACAUCUUGUUAUUUUUUUGCUGUUGCAAGUCCCUGACGUCACAUCCACCUGCUGGGUAAACAACAAGAAAGAAACAAGCAAAUCCAGGCACCACAAAAAAUAACAGAGAGAGAGAGGGAGAAAAGGGGACAGAAAGAAGAAGAAAAACACGGGAGGGAGGAGGGAAGCUGGUGUGGGGCACACGGAUGGGAGGUAAGGAGGAGCCCAGAUACAGCCUGGCAGUGGGAAACUGCCUGGAGCUCUGGGAUACCAGGGUGGGGGGUGCAAUGGGCAUCUGUACUCAGUGGGUAUCAUUGUACCAGCAUAAGUGCUGCAUGAGUACUAAGGGGCAGGGUGAGUACCUGGGUAGUGUGCCACUUAUACUGUGGUGUAUGUUGUAUGCUAGGACUGAAACUGUUAAACUAUGAGGGUACAGUGUGGGGCAUUUAUCCUGUGUGACCAUGGUGAAGUGCCAGUUAUACAGUGUGGUAUAUGUUUUAUAUUGGGGUUGUGGAUGUUAUACUGUAAGUUAAUAGUAUAUACCAGGGUGGGAGCAAUAUACUAUUUGGAUAUUAUGAUAGGUAGGGAGAGUAGCACUGUGUAAGUACUAGGUUGGGGGCAAUUAUGCUGUGUGGGUACCAUGGUGUAGUGUAGGUUGUUGUAUACUAGCACUGUGGGUAUUAAACUGUGAAGGUAUAAUGUGCACUAGAUGGGAGCGAAAUAAUAGUUGGGUACUAUGGUAGGGCGAGUAGUUUUCUGUGAGGAUACUAGGGUGAGGACAGUUAUCCUGUUUGGGUACCAUGGUGGAGUGCCACUUAUACUGUAUAUUGUAUACUAGGCUUGGCACAGAUACAAUGUGAGGGUACAAUAUACACCAGAGUUGGAGCAAUAUACUGGUUGGGCACCAUGGCAGAGGGUUUAGUACUGUUGGGAAGUUAUUAUGAGUGGGUACCAUGGUUGAGUGUAACUUUUACUGUGUGGUGUAUGUUGUAUAUUAGCACUGUUGGUGUUAAACUUUGAUACUGGUAUAAUGUGCACUAGUUUGGGGCACAAUGAUGGUUGAGCACUAUGGUAUGGUAUUUGUACUGUGUGAGUACCAUGGUUGGGGAAGUAUGCUGGUCGGGUUCAUUGGCAGAGAAUGUAGUAGCGUGUGGUUACUUAUGUGGGGGCAGUUAUUCUGUGUGGAUAUCAUGGGGGACUGCGACUUAUACUGUAUGAUUUAUAUGCUAGGUUUGGGGCAAUUAAACUGUGAAGGCCACAAGGCAGAACAUGCUGUGAUUUGAGAUUUCAUUGCAGAAAAUGCAGCAUGUCUGCAAAAAGAACAGGACACAUGCAGGAACUGUUAGUUCUUUAACUUUUUUGUGCUGUUCCACAUCAGGCUGUUCAUUUCAAACAGUGCUUGUGCUCUGGUUGCACUGUGUAAGUUUCCAUUAAUACAGUGCAGCCAGAGUGAUAUGCUGUUUGAAGAGAACAGUCAAUAUGGGGCAGCAUAUUUAUUGGGAUUUUUCAACCCCACCCCUUAGUCUUUCCCGGUCUGCUAAGCUGUGACUACUGAAUACAAAAUGUUCUUGUGAGCAAUGCACCUUUUGUAUUACUACAUGUUUACCUUAUAAUCAUUUGAAGUUAGACCAAGAGCAAAGGAAACACAUUUAUUCAAGAGACAUUUUAAAAACUUAACAAAAUGUAUUUUUUUUUGUCUGCAACUAAUUUGCAAUGUAAUUUUCAGCUGCUGCAAUAUAUUAUAAAACUUUAAAAAAUGCUUUAUUCUCUAGUUAACCAACACAUAAUUUAGUUGGCGCUUUAGUGUAACUGCCUUAUUUAAAAUUGAAUUUCAAAGUGACCUACAGAAAACUUUUCACAAAAAAAAUCUCAUUGCAGAAAGUAAAAAAAAAAAAGUUUUGCCUCUAGGUAUGAAAAUAUUGUUUACUCCAUGGUGGGGGAGUAGUUUUUUAGGAUAGACUGGUUGGGUACCAUGGUAAGGGGAGUAGUUUUACUGUAUGGGUACAAGGGCUGAAAGCCACUUAUAGUGUAUAAUGUAUAUGCUAGGGCUGGAGCAGUUAUCCUAUAUGAGUAUUAUGGUGGGAGGCCACUUAUACUGAGUGGUGUAUUAUUGUAUAUACUUGGGUUAGGACUGAUAACCUGUUGAGAGUAUAAUAUAUACAAAGGUGGGGGUAGUUACGUGUCUACCAAGUCAUUGGGUUGUUAUAGUGUUCUCAGUGUAGUAUAUACCAGGUUAAGUACACUAGGAUAGAUAGGUGCUGUGCAAGCUAUAAUUUAUAUUAGGGACUGUUUAAUUCUCUAUGCAAUAAUGUGUAGGGGCUAAUUAUAUUGUGGUUAUAAUAUAUGGUGAUUUUGACUCACAUGAUAUAUAGCAAGUUAGGGGAUGGUGCAUAUAACAGGCUGGGUGCUUUUAACUAUCUAGACCUAGGGUACAUAACAUGGAGGGGGUUCCUGGCUGGUGUAAUAUUUCUGCUACAUUGUAACUAUGAGCACAAAGUGUUCAUUAAAGUCACAGGACACAUUGCUGCCGGGUGGAAAACACAUAAACUCCUUAAAUAUCAGAGAGGAGUAUAACACAUUGCAAAUGCAAUGCAGAUUACUUAGGGAUCAUAACCCUAGCCUAAAUCCUAACCCUUCCCCUAAAGCAAAAAUGUUACCAAAGAAGUCAUAUUAUCAUAAUUUAUAGAGGAUGUGCUGUUACGCUGUGUUAAAUAUGGUAAAAAAGUAUACCAUGGCAAGAAGGUUUUGGUAAUGCCAAAGUUUACUUUGUUCCAACUCACAAAAACAUAGGUUCAAGUCCUUGAUGCAAAACUCCCACACAGACACCAUAACCUUUUUUUUUUUUUUUUAAUCUAAAUUUUCAUCUGAUUAUUUAUUUAUUUUUAAAUAUAUAUUUUUUUAUUUUUUUAUAAAGAUUUUACAACAUAAGUAAUUGUUUAGGUAAACAUAUGAUAUGCAUACAAACAAAUUAUAUAUAGUAACAUAAAUACAACCAAAAAUGUACAAGUAGAAGAGAAUGCAAAUAAGAUGUCACAAUUAUCUGGUUUUUAAAUACUGUAUUUUAGAUGAUAUAGUCUCCAGAGGGCUGACUUUGCAUGCAGCAUUUAUUUGGCAUUGCUAAUUAUGUAAUAUUUUAAUUUCCAUUAAACACCCAAUCAGCUUCUGUAUCACCAGCCUGUUCGAAGAUCUGUUGAGAACAAUCUGCGUUUAAAAUCUUCCGAAGUGGCAAAAGGAUUCCGGAUUAGCCCAAGAACAGCAAUAAAUUAUCUUCAUUGGCUUGUUUAUUAUGAAUGUGCUACUCUUAAAGCUGCUAAAAGAAAGUCAACAAAAGUAUUAAUAUAUAUUUGGUAGUUUAACCCCUUCCUGCCGUUACAACGUUUCAUGCCAUCCUAACUGUGCUGGGCUUAGGACCAUUAGGACGGCAUGGGACGUCCUAGCCUUUUGGCUGUCCUGAAGCCAUAGCCACUUGCUAAAUGGGAUCGUGAGCUGGAGGGUGUGCCUAGCGUCAUAGGCACUCCCCCCUAACCUGAUCCCAUCAUUGAAAUCAUGAGUGUUGGCAUUAACAUUUGCGUUAUUUCAUUUUUGUUUCGUAUUUAUUUACAGCAGGAAGGGGUUAAUUUUUCAAAUAAAUUUGUAAAUGUAAAUACUUGUGUGUCUAUUUCUUGUAUGUUUGUGCGCCUUUAAAAUGAAUGUAAAUUUUCAUAAUUGAGUGCCCGGUUUUUAAAAAUACUAUUAAAAACAGGGGCACCCUCAUUCAUAAAAGUUUACAUUGCAGCGUUUUUUGUUGAAAUACUUACCUUUUUCUUCUUCCAAGUCGGACCAGUGAUUUAAAGCCUUGCUGCUCAGAUGAGAUGAUCAAGAACUCUCCACGGUUAUUUAUAAAAUAUUUUACCAGGAAGGAUACAUUGAGAUUUCUGUCGUUUUCAAGUAUGUCCUGGGAAAGGCCUUUAAUAAAAUACGGUACGGAAAGGCCUUUAAUAAAAUUUACAAAUUUUAUCUUGAGAAAUGUUUAUGUUGCUAUGUUGUGUUCUUUAUGUGAAAAAGAGACUUCUACAUUACAAUAAAAGGUCUAAAAAAAAACUAA